rnacentral:tRNA from 1 species
GAAAUUCUAGUUAAAUCAUAACCUAGCCUUGUCAAGGCUAAAUUACUAAAUAUUAGUGAAUUUCU